UACGUAGGGGGCAAGCGUUGUCCGGAUUUAUUGGGCGGAAAGAGCGUGUAGGCGGCCUGGCAGGGCAGUUGUGAAAACUCGAGGCUCAACCUCGAGACGCCGAUGGAAACAACCUGGCUAGAGUCCGGAAGAGGAGAGUGGAAUUCCUGGUGUAGCGGUGAAAUGCGCAGAUAUCAGGAAGAACACCCGUGGCUAAGGCGGCUCUCUAGUACGGUACUGACGCUGAGGCACGGAGGCGUGGGGAGCGAACGGG
rnacentral:rRNA from 1 species